rnacentral:rRNA from 1 species
CCCUUAGAUGUUCUGGGCCGCACGCGUGCUACACUGAUGCAUUCAACGAGUCUAAAACCUGGUCUGAUAGGGCUGGGUAAUCUUUUGAAAGUGCAUCGUGAUUGGGAUAGAUGAUUGCAAUUCUUCAUCUUCAACGAGGAAUGCCUAGUAAACGCAAGUCAUCGGCUUGCAUUGAUUACGUCCCUGCCCUUUGUACACACCGCCCGUCGCUCCUACCGAUUGAAUGAUCCGAUGAAUACCAUGGAUUGAGAGUACGAAUAGGUUCGCUUAUUUCUGCUGCUCGAGAAGUGGAGUAAAUCUUAUCAUUUAGAGGAAGGAGAAGUCGUAACA